AGUAACUAGAAACCCCAUACGUGGCAGUUUAAUAUAGGGUCUCUCUUUCUUUCUCGAUCGAGCGUUUCUUUCACGAUUGAAUUUUUGUGUUGAGUUUGUGUGUUGAUUUUCUCAACAAAUCCCUCUCCUUUUUUUCAAGAGAAAUCGUGUUGUUGAUGGUGCUCGAUGGCUGCUUCAUCCUCUUCCAAAUCCGGCCAUGAAAUCCCCGAGAAGGAAAUCGAAGAAGACAUCCGACCGAGCUCUGGAGGUUUCCCGACAGAGAGACAAGCGUCUCUAAACCACAUCCACCUCACUUCCUCUAAUCUCGCCUCAUUUCUAUUCUAUUACUCAUCAGAAACACACAUAGACAAUGUUUUGUUUUGUACUCUGAGGCAGAAACAGAGAGUAGAAAACAGAGGAACAUUUGGCAGAGUAUUUCUCUUGUUCCCUCUCCUUGGCUUUAUCUGUUUCUCAGUAUCUGAAAGUUUCUGUCUUUUUUUUUUCUUGGAUUUGUGAGGUUUAUCAGUGACAUUUCACUGAAUUUUCUUCUGAAGGAUUCCUACACAAGGACUCUCUUUUGUUCUGUAAUAACAAAGCUUUUCUUUUGUUAGUGCCGAUGAGAUAGUUCACGAGAAGGGUUUUCGUCAUCGUCCUCUCCGGGAAUAUAUAAGCUGUAAUUAGCUGGAGUGCAAUGGUGUUCUCACAUUGAGCUUUGUCUAGGCCAAUUUUAGUGGAAUCUAAAUUUGAUAAAAAGCAACUCUUUUGGAACUAUAUGAAAUUAUGUAAGGUGGGUCAUUCUCGUUAUGGUUCCAUGGUGGUUGCUUGUUGAUGGAGAUGUAACGAAACCUUGAAGUUAUUCCAAGAAAAAGAAGUGUUAUACUGUAUAGUUCAGGACAUCCGACAGAGCUCUGCGUUUUAUCAAACUCUGCGUGAUUCUUCAUGGAAGAUAAUCGAUGCAGGAGAAACUAUGGAGGAAGUAGAGAAGAAGAUUCAACAAGUGGUGUUGGAUAAAGUUAAAGAAUGUGCUCAAGUAAAGUCUCUUUCUCUCCUCUGAUCAUCUUUUAAUGACUUUUAACCAAUCCGCUCUUGUUUCAAAAAAACCAAUCCACUCUUGUAGAAUGUUUGUGUUAUGGUUAUUAUACCAAGUUUGUGAUUUUGAAAGAACUAUUAUAUCAACUUAACAACUUA